UUUAAGUGCAGUUGUAGAUUUAUGUGUCCGUCAUAUUUGAUUUUUUUUUAUGAUUAGUGUUUUUUUUAUUAGAUGAUAACACAUGAAUAGUACUUUAUGCGUGACUUAUUUUUAAAUUUUUUUUUAUAAAUUUUCCAAAUAAGACGGAUGUUCAAACGUUGUACAUGGAAAUCUGCAACUGCACUUAAA
rnacentral:pre_miRNA from 1 species